rnacentral:rRNA from 1 species
GAUGAACGCUGGCGGCGUGCUUAACACAUGCAAGUCGAACGAAGAUGCCGGAGUGCUUGCACUUUGGCAGACUGAGUGGCGGACGGGUGAGUAACGCGUGGGUAACCUGCCUUAUACAGGGGGAUAACAGUUGGAAACGACUGCUAAUACCGCAUAAGCGCACGGUAUCGCAUGAUACAGUGUGAAAAACUCCGGUGGUAUAAGAUGGACCCGCGUCUGAUUAGCUUAGUUGGUGAGGUAACGGCCCACCAAGGCGACGAUCAGUAGCCGGCCUGAGAGGGUGAACGGCCACAUUGGGACUGAGACACGGCCAAACUCCUACGGGAGGCAGCAGUGGGGAAUAUUGCACAAUGGGGGAAACCUGGAUGCAGCGACGCCGCGUGAGUGAUGACG